UUUCCGGAAGCAGAAAAAGGAAAUCCUGCCAUCAAAGGCCAAGAGAGCAAGCAUUCAGUAUGGUGUCUUUUUACUAAUGUGCACAGUGACCACACUUUCC